GUUUGGGUGGCGGACGGGUGAGUAACGCGUAAAGAACUUGCCUCACAGUUAGGGACAACAUUUGGAAACGAAUGCUAAUACCUGAUAUUAUGAUUUUAGGGCAUCCUAAGAUUAUGAAAGCUAUAUGCGCUGUGAGAGAGCUUUGCGUCCCAUUAGCUAGUUGGAGAGGUAACGGCUCACCAAGGCGAUGAUGGGUAGCCGGCCUGAGAGGGUGAACGGCCACAAGGGGACUGAGACACGGCCCUUACUCCUACGGGAGGCAGCAGUGGGGAAUAUUGGACAAUGGACCAAAAGUCUGAUCCAGCAAUUCUGUGUGCACGAUGACGUUUUUCGGAAUGUAAAGUGCUUUCAGUUGGGAAGAAAAAAAUGACGGUACCAACAGAAGAAGUGACGGCUAAAUACGUGCCAGCAGCCGCGGUAAUACGUAUGUCACAAGCGUUAUCCGGAUUUAUUGGGCGUAAAGCGCGUCCAGGUGGUUAUGUAAGUCUGAUGUGAAAAUGCAGGGCUCAACUCUGUAUUGCGUUGGAAACUGCAUGACUAGAGUACUGGAGAGGUAAGCGGAACUACAAGUGUAAAGGUGAAAUUCGUAGAUAUUUGUAGGAAUGCCGAUGGGGAAGCCAGCUUACUGGACAGAUACUGACGCUAAAGCGCGAAAGCGUGGGUAGCAAACAGGAUUAGAUACCCUGGUAGUCCACGCCGUAAACGAUGAUUACUAGGUGUUGGGGGUCGAACCUCAG
rnacentral:rRNA from 1 species